UAUUGGCCAAUGGGGGCAGCCCCGAUCACGCCAUACCGCGUGUGUGAAGAACGUCUUUGGCUUGUUAAGCACUUUUAGUUGGGAGGAUGGGCCUUAGGUUAAUACUCUGUAGUUCUGACGUUACUAUCAGAAUAAGCACCUGCUAUCUCUGUGCCAGCAGCCGCGGUAAUACAGAGGGUGCAAGCGUUAAUCGGAAUUACUGGGCGUAAAGCGCGCGUAGGUGGUUCAGUAAGAUGGGUGUGAAAUCCCCGGGCUUAACCUGGGAACUGCUUUCAUAACUGCUGAGCUAGAGUACGGUAGAGGGUAGUGGAAUUUCCUGUGUAGCGGUGAAAUGCGUAGAUAUAGGAAGGAACACCAGUGGCGAAGGCGACUACCUGGACUGAUACUGACACUGAGGUGCGAAAGAGUGGGGAGCAAAC
rnacentral:rRNA from 1 species